AAAAUCCAAUAAUUAUAUACAAUACGAACAAUGUUCAUCACUAACAAAAUAUAAACGACACCCUAAUCCAACCAAAACAAUGAAUAAAUCCACUGGUUUCUAGUCAAUUCUAUACUAGAAAGACCUAGAAGGAUCUAGAAGGUCUAGCCGUACUUCAAUCCUUAAAUGGUCACUAAUUUUUCUUGAAUUCUAUUCAUUUGGCUAAUUUCCAGGUGAAAAAACAUGGAGUAUCCUUUCCUAAAUCUACAAUUUAUGCUGCUUGUGCUUUGGAUCAUCAACACUGUGCCAUGGAAUUUUGAAAAUUCUUCUAUCAUCAGCUCUCAAAAGUGCUGUAUACCCACGCGAUGUAAGAACUGGCCACACUACUCCUCCUGCUCAUUAAUGUUGGAUUCAGGGAAAACUUUGUGUUGGAUUAAAGUGG